AUUGAACGCUGGCGGCAGGCCUAACACAUGCAAGUCGAGCGGAUGAAGGGAGCUUGCUCCUGGAUUCAGCGGCGGACGGGUGAGUAAUGCCUAGGAAUCUGCCUGGUAGUGGGGGAUAACGUCCGGAAACGGGCGCUAAUACCGCAUACGUCCUGAGGGAGAAAGUGGGGGAUCUUCGGACCUCACGCUAUCAGAUGAGCCUAGGUCGGAUUAGCUAGUUGGUGGGGUAAAGGCCUACCAAGGCGACGAUCCGUAACUGGUCUGAGAGGAUGAUCAGUCACACUGGAACUGAGACACGGUCCAGACCCCUACGGGAGGCAGCAGUGGGGAAUAUUGGACAAUGGGCGAAAGCCUGAUCCAGCCAUGCCGCGUGUGUGAAGAAGGUCUUCGGAUUGUAAAGCACUUUAAGUUGGGAGGAAGGGCAGUAAGUUAAUACCUGGCUGUUUUGACGUUACCAACAGAAUAAGCACCGGCUAACUUCGU
rnacentral:rRNA from 1 species